GGCCUCAUAGCUCAGUUGGCUAGAGCGUUGGCUGUACUAAAGCCUUCCCCUUGCUGGCGUGGGUUCGAGCUCCACCGAGGCCG
rnacentral:tRNA from 1 species